AACAACACAGAGAGAGAGAGAGAGAGAGAGCAAGAGAGAGGGAGAGAGGGUGGGGAGAUGAGAGGGAGUGGUGAAAAGCAGGCCAUGUACAACACAACUACACUCCUCUCUCUGUCAGAGGCAGGAAGUUGGCAGCGGUGCUGUAGCUGCAUCAUUAAUAGACACAUUGCAACACGAGUGGGAGGGCAAAAAUGAGCGAGCAGUGAAAUAGGAAGAAAGAGCCUCAGCAGUGUGUGAGAGAGGAGGGAGGGGAGAAGAAGGAAACACGGAUCAGAGUGGGUGAAAUGGAGAAUGCAAGAGGGAGGCAAUUAGAGCAAAAGAGAGGAAAAGGAGAAAAUGCAAAAGAGAACACUGAUGUUAAUCACUACAGACAGUAUCGAUUAAAAAUGCAAAGCCCUCCUGGAGCGCAGGGACACCAGAGGCUCAUGGGAGACAGGAAGCGUGCACGCUGCCGAGAGUGUGUGCACGUGCUCACAACAAACGCAAGCAGCAGUUGGUUGGGCAAAAUGCAGUAGCUGGCAAACCACUGGUUCAUCAACUGCACGGAGCUGCAGCAACAACAAAGCAACCCAGUUGAGUUAAAGCUCUGUUUACAAACUWCACAUUCCUGUUUUCUGUCACUCACAUCUCAUACACUAAAAGACAAAAAACGUGUCUCCUAUAAUCAGAGCUGACAAGCACAUUCCCCACACGGCAGCGUACAGGCAGAGGCAUCACAGCUAAAUGUCACACACAGUGUCAGACACCGCUGUCAGCACCAAGACACAAUGAACAACCCUGCGGGCCUCCUCUUCUUCUCCUCUCCUUUCAUUUCCCCUUCAUAGGCAGAUACCUUUGGUGUUGUUGWUGUUCUUUUAGUCUGCGAGCACUCUCAUCUCUGAUGUUUUGUUUAGGCACGGUGUGUGGGCUCAGCGUUUACAGCCACUGUAAGAUGGGGACCUCUGAACAAAGGAAGACGGGGAAGAACUAAUCCUUUUCCAGAGCUGCCGGAGAGAAAAACGACGAGAUAAAAUGUGGGAGAAGAAACACCUGAGGUGUGUGUGGCUGCUAUUUUGCGGGGAUGUUAGAGUUGAUCUUUCAGCCAGCUACUCCACUUUUUGUUAUUGUUGUUGUUGUUUUUUAAGAAGGUGCAGACAUUACCCCUCUGUCAACAUAACAGCACGUUGCUCAAAAAAAAUCUCUCAGAGAGAAUGAACUCCCACUUCUGUUCGCCUCCCUCUCCCCCGCUGUGGGAACACGCAACGGCAGCAGCUCAAUAACAAUAUGUGACAGACGACAACGUGCUUGCACACAGACACACUCGGCUCGCGGAGGCACACGUCUCCUCUUGUCCUCAAACAACGAGCCGCUGCAUGUAAACAACCUCACUCCUUCACAUUUCUCUACGACGUGGCGUCCUUCGCACCUCGGAUGAGUUUGUGCCAUCAGUAGUUACCUCUCAGUGUUUUUUUUWWAUUUAUUUUUCUGUUCUGUUGUUUCGUUCGCAGACGUUCUCAGAUACCCUUCAUGUCGGUUGAUUACCUUUUUUGUCUUCUUCUGUCGUCUCUCCCCCGCCACGCUCGCUGUGGAGAAAGUCCUCCCAGGUCAGCCACGCAGAGGAAACCAAGCUGAGAAAUGUCCACUCUGAUGAGCAGAUGCAGAUAAGAGACACAAA